rnacentral:pre_miRNA from 1 species
AUAAUACUCCCUCCGUCUGGAAUUACUUGUCAUCAAAAUGGAUGUGUCUAGAACUAAAAUACAUCUAGAUACAUCCAUUUCAAUGACAAGUAUUUUCGUACGGAGGGAGUAGUAG